AAAAAAAAAAACUAAUAUAUUAAGUGUACAGAAAUAAUAAAUAACAUGUCAUAUCCACCAGUUAAAGCACUUAACCACUAUAAUCACAUUUGAGUUAAAAGGUUAAAUUUGAGGUAAGUAUGAGCAGAAUAUAGUAUACACUUAUUGCCCUACAAUGUUAUUAUUUACAAUCUAUUAAAAAGGAAUUGUUUUCACACCAAUUGUCUUGAAAUUAAAUCAGCCAUUUCUAAUACACUAUUGAUACAAUAUGAAUGCAU